rnacentral:rRNA from 1 species
ACGAACGCUGGCGGCGUGCUUAACACAUGCAAGUCGAACGGAAAGGCCCUGCUUUUGUGGGGUGCUCGAGUGGCGAACGGGUGAGUAACACGUGAGUAACCUGCCCUUGACUUUGGGAUAACUUCAGGAAACUGGGGCUAAUACCGGAUAGGAGCUCCUGCUGCAUGGUGGGGGUUGGAAAGUUUCGGCGGUUGGGGAUGGACUCGCGGCUUAUCAGCUUGUUGGUGGGGUAGUGGCUUACCAAGGCUUUGACGGGUAGCCGGCCUGAGAGGGUGACCGGCCACAUUGGGACUGAGAUACGGCCCAGACUCCUACGGGAGGCAGCAGUGGGGAAUAUUGCACAAUGGGCGGAAGCCUGAUGCAGCAACGCCGCGUGCGGGAUGACGGGCUUCGGGUUGUAAACCGCUUUCGCCUGUGACGAAGCGUGAGUGACGGUAAUGGGUAAAGAAGCACCGGCUAACUACGUG